UUGAGUUGGUUUAGCGAUCAUGGCCCAAACAAUACAUAUUUAUUGGAUGAUAACAAGUAUGCUAAUAACAAAAUAGGCCACCCUCAACCAAACUAUUCCCCUUAUCCGGCCCAUCCUUGACAGCCCAAUCCUCUACAACUCAAAUACCUUAUUCACACCAUUACUUUUACAAGCUGGCUCAAGACCAUUAGCCGACACGCAACUCAAAAUUCUGAAAAACCAGAGACACGUGUCUCCAGCACACUCUUCUGCACAGAAUCUUACACGUGGAUUCUUUUGUCUCCCAUUAGUAGGUGUAAGGAUAUACAUGGCCCGAUGUAACUCGAAUAUCCGUAAAAAUGUUAUUGCGGUACUGAAAAUAUACACAUUCAUAUGUCUGAUCAACGUUCUGUCAGGUUUUCACUCAAGAAGACGAUCUAGUAUAGAGAAGUACUAAGAAAGUUAAAACGCAAGGAAAAGUGAAUCUUAAUCACCCACCUGAUUGCAAGGAAAUUGUACCAGUUGAGGAGAGGAACACACCAAUCCAAAAAUGUUUAUAUAAGGAAUUUCUGCUGACCGGUUCUGGAUUGGAAGGCAACCAUGAGUUCUCGUCCAUUAUGGACGAUGAUAAACCCAAUUCGGAGGACAAGUGGUAUAAAGAUGAUGAGAAUGGGGUGAAUGGUGGAAAACCAUUUAACCCAUGUCCUAC
rnacentral:lncRNA from 1 species